ACGUAGGGUCCGAGCGUUGUCCGGAAUUAUUGGGCGUAAAGAGCUCGUAGGCGGUUUGUCGCGUCUGCUGUGAAAUUCCCAGGCUCAACCUGGGGCGUGCAGUGGGUACGGGCAGACUAGAGUGCGGUAGGGGAGACUGGAAUUCCUGGUGUAGCGGUGGAAUGCGCAGAUAUCAGGAGGAACACCGGUGGCGAAGGCGGGUCUCUGGGCCGUUACUGACGCUGAGGAGCGAAAGCAUGGGGAGCGAACAGGA
rnacentral:rRNA from 1 species